UACGGAGGGGGCUAGCGUUGUUCGGAAUUACUGGGCGUAAAGCGCACGUAGGCGGACCUGCAAGUCGGGGGUGAAAUCCCGGAGCUCAACUUCGGAACUGCCUUUGAUACUGGCAAUCUCGAGUCCGGAAGAGGUUAGUGGAAUUCCCAGUGUAGAGGUGAAAUUCGUAGAUAUUGGGAAGAACACCAGUGGCGAAGGCGGCUAACUGGUCCGGUACUGACGCUGAGGUGCGAAAGCGUGGGGAGCAAACAGG
rnacentral:rRNA from 1 species